AGAGUUUGAUCAUGGCUCAGGAUGAACGCUAGCUACAGGCUUAACACAUGCAAGUCGAGGGGAAACGACAUCGAAAGCUUGCUUUUGAUGGGCGUCGACCGGCACACGGGUGAGUAACGCGUAUCCAACCUGCCCACCACUUGGGGAUAACCUUGCGAAAGUAAGACUAAUACCCAAUGACGUCUCUAGAAGACAUCUGAAGGAGAUUAAAGAUUUAUCGGUGAUGGAUGGGGAUGCGUCUGAUUAGCUAGUUGGUGAGAUAACAGCCCACCAAGGCGACGAUCGGUAGCCGACCUGAGAGGGUGAUCGGCCACAUUGGAACUGAGAGACGGUCCAGACUCCUACGGGAGGCA
rnacentral:rRNA from 1 species